UACGAAGGGGGGCUAGCGUUGCUCGGAAUCACUGGGCGUAAAGGGUGCGUAGGCGGGUCUUUAAGUCAGAGGUGAAAUCCCAAGGCUCAACCUUGGAACUGCCUUUGAUACUGGGGAUCUCGAGUCCGGAAGAGGUGAGUGGAACUGCGAGUGUAGAGGUGAAAUUCGUAGAUAUUCGCAAGAACACCAGUGGCGAAGGCGGCUCACUGGUCCGGUACUGACGCUGAGGUGCGAAAGCGUGGGGAGCAAACAGG
rnacentral:rRNA from 1 species